UACGAAGGGGGCUAGCGUUGUUCGGAUUUACUGGGCGUAAAGCGCACGUAGGCGGAUCGUUAAGUCGGGGGUGAAAUCCUGGAGCUCAACUCCAGAACUGCCUUCGAUACUGGCGAUCUUGAGUCCGGAAGAGGUGAGUGGAACUCCUAGUGUAGAGGUGGAAUUCGUAGAUAUUAGAAGAACACCAGUGGCGAAGGCGGCUCACUGGUCCCGGUA
rnacentral:rRNA from 1 species